AACGCACAUUGCGCCCGCCAGUAUCCUGGCGGUGCAUGCCUGUCCGAGCGUCAUUUCUACCCGUCGAGCCCCGCUCGUGCUGGGGCCCUGCGGCCGCCGCAGGCCCUGAAAGACAGUGGCGGGACCGCCGCCGCGCCGAGCGUAGUAGCGCGAGCCUCGCUCCGGAGCGGCGCCUGUCCCGGCCGGGCCCACAGCCCCCAGCCCACGCACACAAGAAGGAUGACCUCGGAUCAGGUAGGAAUACCCGCUGAACUUAA
rnacentral:misc_RNA from 1 species